rnacentral:rRNA from 1 species
UACGAAGGGGGCUAGCGUUGCUCGGAAUUACUGGGCGUAAAGGGCGCGUAGGCGGAUAUCUAAGUUGGGGGUGAAAUCCCGGGGCUCAACCUCGGAAUUGCCUUCAAAACUGGAUAUCUUGAGUUCGGGAGAGGUGAGUGGAACUCCGAGUGUAGAGGUGAAAUUCGUAGAUAUUCGGAGGAACACCAGUGGCGAAGGCGGCUCACUGGUCCGGUACUGACGCUGAGGUGCGAAAGCGUGGGGAGCAAACAGG